ACACGUACUACAAUGGCCGGUACAAAGGGCAGCGACACAGCGAUGUGAACGACGAAUCCCGAAAAGCCGGUCUCAGUCCGGAUUGGAGUCUGCAACUCGACUCCAUGAAGUUGGAAUCGCUAGUAAUCGCGGAUCAGCACGCCGCGGUGAAUACGUUCCCGGGCCUU
rnacentral:rRNA from 1 species